rnacentral:rRNA from 1 species
UACGAAGGUCCCAAGCGUUGUUCGGAAUCACUGGGCGUAAAGCGUGUGUAGGCUGCAAGGUAAGUCAGAUGUGAAAUCCCGACGCUCAACGUCGGAACUGCAUCCGAUACUGCCUUGCUAGAGUAGUGGAGGGGAGUUUGGAAUUCACGGUGUAGCAGUGAAAUGCGUAGAUAUCGUGAGGAAGGCCAGUGGCGAAAGCGAAACUCUGGACACUUACUGACGCUGAGACACGAAGGCUAGGGUAGCGAAAGGG